UGCUAGGUUCGAUUUGUUCUA
rnacentral:piRNA from 1 species